rnacentral:rRNA from 1 species
UUUUAGCUCCCUAUGGUAGUAGAACACUCAAAACCAAUAUUUCAUGGCGGUCACAUCUUUUCUAGAGGAACUCGCUUUAUAAUCGAUAUUCCCCGAUAAUUUUCACCUUUUUCCAAAGCCUAUAUACCGCCGUUUCAGACUUCCCUAUAUUCUUCUUAUUCCACUCAGUGCUAUUAAACUAAAAAAUCAGGUCAAGGUGUAGCCAAUAUAAAGGAAGAAGUAAGUUACAUUAAAAACAAUUUAAGGACAACUAAUAAAAAUUUAAUCCAAAAAGAAUCUAGCUUUAAAAAUCAAUUAAUAUUUCAUUUAGAAUUAUUCCCAGUGACGU